CAUGCAGUCGAACGGCAGCACGGACUUCGGUCUGGUGGCGAGUGGCGAACGGGUGAGUAAUGUAUCGGAACGUGCCCAGUAGCGGGGGAUAACUACGCGAAAGCGUAGCUAAUACCGCAUACGCCCUACGGGGGAAAGCAGGGGAUCGCAAGACCUUGCACUAUUGGAGCGGCCGAUAUCGGAUUAGCUAGUUGGUGGGGUAACGGCUCACCAAGGCGACGAUCCGUAGCUGGUUUGAGAGGACGACCAGCCACACUGGGACUGAGACACGGCCCAGACUCCUACGGGAGGCAGCAGUGGGGAAUUUUGGACAAUGGGGGAAACCCUGAUCCAGCCAUCCCGCGUGUGCGAUGAAGGCCUUCGGGUUGUAAAGCACUUUUGGCAGGAAAGAAACGUCGUGGGUUAAUACCCCGCGAAACUGACGGUACCUGCAGAAUAAGCACCGGCUAACUACGUGCCAGCAG
rnacentral:rRNA from 1 species